GGAAUAUUGGACAAUGGGCGCAAGUCUGAACCAGCCAUGCCGCGUGGAGGAUGAAGGUCCUCUGGAUUGUCAACUUCUUUUAUAUGGGACGAAAAAGGGUCUUUCUAGAUCAACUGACGGUACCAUAUGAAUAAGCACCGGCUAACUCCGUGCAAGCAGCCGCGGUAAUACGGCGGGUGCAAGCGUUAUCCGGAUUAACUGGGUUUAAAGGGUGCGUAGGUGGGUUGGUAAGUCAGUGGUGAAAUCUCCGAGCUUAACUUGGAAACUGCCAUUGAUACUAUCAGUCUUGAAUAUUGUGGAGGUUAGCGGAAUAUGUCAUGUAGCGGUGAAAUGCUUAGAUAUGACAUAGAACACCAAUUGCGAAGGCAGCUGGCUACACAUAUAUUGACACUGAGGCACGAAAGCGUGGGGAUCAAAC
rnacentral:rRNA from 1 species